ensembl:lncRNA
AACAUUCACCUACCAGGCUGGCUGGCAGCAGCGAAGAAACAGAGCCCGGAGUUAGCAGACAAGUUUGUCUCACGAGAAUCAGGAGAUACUAAAUGCUCUCUGGAGAGAAAAGGUGAGAACUUUGCUUUUGACCUACUGGGAGGAAGUGAAUCCCAAGAGGGAGGCAUUUCUUCAAGUGUAGUCUCUGCCCAAAGCCAGCCCAGACUGCUCAGGGCCUCCUCCCCGAGGGGGAAGCCAGACUCCACGGACUAGAGAUGGAGGGGGUUGUGGACAUGGUGGAGACUUCAGUGUCCUGGUCUGUCUGAUGGGCUUGUUCACAAGGGGACCACUGGCAGUGACCUCGCCUGGCACCUAAUCCUGCAAGCAAGCCCCUCACUGCAGAGGACAGUGGUGACACCCCCUGGACAUGCGUCCACUGACGGAUGGAGCCAAUGGAUGGGAAGGCAGCAGAGGCUUCUCUGCAGACUGUGUUUAACCCCCAGUGAGCCUGUGGGACCCCAGGGUGGAGCAGCUACAGAGGACACAGGGGUGAGAGAGGAGAAAACACAGAUAUCUCCAAGGGAGGCCCCUCACUCUCGGGGCAGGAGGAGCAGCCAGUGCAAAGGCCCUGGCUUAGGACCAGAUCUGGUUAACAGGUGGGAUGGUGGCCCGAGAUGCGGGCAGAGGGAGCCCAGAAAGCCAACCCUCCUGCAGACCAGCAGAGACUUUGUGGAUUAAAGGGGAAUCCUAUGGCAGAUGCCACCAUCACACAUCUGCUAGGGGAGGAGACAGACAUCAGACCACACUGAGUGCUGGCCAGGGUGCCAACUUCUUGUCCACUUGGAAGCGUGCCUGGCAGUUCCUUAAAAAGUUAACUCUGUAUGUGCCCUACCCAAGAGUAAACGCCCGGAAGGAAAGACCAGGACAGGCAUUCACAGCAGCCUUAUCCUAAACAGGCAGCACUGGAAACAAACAAGGCAGCCAUAGAGAGGGGAAUGGCUCAAUCAACUGUGCUCACUGCUUCCAGUGGAGAACCACACAGCCAACUCCCAGCAGUCUCUGCAGUGAGGUUGCCUCUCCUGAGACCAAGCACCAGGGAGGGCUUCUGGAAGUGCAGUCUGGUGAGGACUCAGGGCAAAACAAGCAGAAAACAAAACUGCGCACAGAGGGUGAACCCAAGUCGACCUGGGACUUUGUCUGCCAUGGCUGCCCAAGUUUCCCAGACAGAAGGCGGAAGUUCUAAGCAGGUGGAAAGUGCCUCACUCCAGGGCCGAGGGCUCCUGAGGCCACCGCGCCUGCCUGCCUGCGCCACAUCCAUCGUGUUAUUGCCGGAGCCUGAGAACUGCUCCCCAGGCGGAAUCUUGAAUAUUCAUCUGAUUUACUGCCCGCUGCCGACAGCUUUAUGAAUCCGCCCACCAGUACCUGCAGCCGGUCAUCAAUCUUCCCCCGAGACUGUGCUGCUGCCAGUAACUCAUGAAUUAAAGAGGCCCCUGGCGGCCCCCACACCUCCCUCCCCCACGCGGCGCGUCGUGAUGGAGAAGGACCUGACCAGAAGUCAAAACACUGCUGCUGCCUCGUCUUGCAGCUCAGGCGACCUUGGAUGACUCCCUCAGCCUGUCUGCAGUCAGGAAGAGAAACUCAGGGGCCCUCAGAGCAGCCCCUACCCAGCUCCCAAUCCCAGUUUCCCUGUCUGCAGAGACGCAGGGAGUGCUCAGCAUCACCUCUGUCUGCUCACCUGGGCGAGGGGCUGAGGCAGUUGGGUGGGCAAGCCCAGGCGAAUGCAGGAUGCUUGCUACGAUUCAACUUGGAGAUGCUCACUGAACGAGAGAGGUGGUGGUCCUCGCAGCAAGCUCUCCUAGGCGUUCUUAUCAAGAGUGGGAACGAAGGGAGCAUCUCCCUCCAGGACUUUGGGGGUCUCCAAGUGCGCCCCCCGGCCCCCGUCCAUAGGGAAUAAACGUGAUGAUGUUUGUCCA